CCUACGGGAGGCAGCAGUAGGGAAUCUUCCACAAUGGGCGCAAGCCUGAUGGAGCAACACCGCGUGAGUGAAGACGGGUUUCGGCUCGUUAAGCUCUGUUGUUGGAGAAGAACGUGCGUGAGCGUAACUGUUCACGCAGUGACGGUAUCCAACCAGAAAGUCUCGGCUAAUUACGUGCCAGCAGCCGCGGUAAUACGUAGGUGGCAAGCAUUAUCCGGAUUUAUUGGGCGUAAAGGGAGCGAAGGUGUUUGAUUAGGUCUGAUGUGAAAGCCUUCGGCUUAACCGAAGAAGUGCAUCGGAAACUGGGAGACUUGAGUGCAGGAGAGGAGAGUGGAACUCGAUGUGUAGCGGUGGAAUGCGUAGAUAUAUGGAAGAACACCGAUGGCGAAGGCGGCUGACUGGUCUGCAACUGACGCUGAGGCUCGAAAGCAUGGGUAGCGAACAGGAUUAGAUACCCGAGUAGUC
rnacentral:rRNA from 1 species